rnacentral:tRNA from 1 species
CCCUGGGUAGUACAAAUGGUUAAGCGCUUGGCUGCUAACCAAAAGGUUGGAGGUUCAAAUCUACCCCAAGGU